GGAAAUCCCUCCUUUGGAGUUUUACAGUGAGCCCAGGACACAGAACAUUAAUGAAAAGAGGAACCUCUGAACUCCUUCCUGUUGCUGGAUUCCAAGUCUGACUUGUGCUUUCUGGGGUAGGAAGGAGAUGGGUCACAGAGCAAACCCAUGGCUGCUGCACUGCCACACAACCCACCUUACUGUGAAGGCCAGAGGAUGGCCGGAUAUGAAGACACAGAGCUGCAGUCUAAUUUGAUCAGAAGAUAACAGGCCUCAUAUUUUGUUUAGACGUGUUUUCCACAAAGUCUAGAGGCAUUAUUAACUACUUCUUGAAUCUGUAAUCCAAGCCCAACUCAUUCAAAGUGUUUUGGUCCUCAGUUCUAUGGAGUACAGGAAAGGCUGCCCAGGAUUAUCGGGUUGCUUACUUGCUUCCAUUUUACCUUUGGCAUCCUUUAUUUACUUUGGCUACCGCGUACCUCGAGAAAAGGCUUUCAGAACUAAGUUAAAAUAUGAAUUAGACUUCAAGAAGGUUUGAAACAGAUAUUGGAUUUAUUGGUCAGCUAUGAGUAGGAAAAUACAUUGGUAAGGAAAAAGAAGACCCUGUAUAUAAAUAUAAUACUAACUAGUUAAAAUUUGACCAAGAAGAAAGUUCCACUGAAGAGAACAGUAAAAGCCCUUGUUUACCAUCAGACCAUAUUCAGUUUCCCAUUUAUCUUAUUGAAGAGCUGCCUAUAGACAAAUGCAACAUUCUUUGAGCUUAGUGCAGAUAAUGUGCUGGUUUUUGUUACAUGAAUGGUAAACAAGAGUUAGUCCAGUGCAUUACACGUUAUACAGAAGUACUGUGAAUAAAGACUAAGAUAUUCUAUUUAGACACUACUUAAACAUACCAAGACACUUAAGUGUUACAAAUUUAUGCAACCAAAAGAAAAGAAUAGCAGUUAACAUACUAAAAAAAUACUGUGACCUGCUGGAUGAGAAAGGCUUGCUACUUAUGCAGUUAACUGAUUAUUACUAUUUUUAAAGUUUUACAGUGUAAUUAGUCGCCGUUUCCAAUGACAUCGUAAUUAUUUUGUCUUUACUACAGGUUUUAGCUUGUGGCUGAGAAAGCAAACAAUAACCUAAGUCUGCUCAAGAAAACCAAAAACCAACCAACCAAAAACACAAAACAUCCGAACUUGAGAGACUUGCUAAAGUUACACCAAAGAUGCCUACAUACAGUGUUCUAAACAAACUCAGUUUUGUCCAAGUGUUGGCCAAAUUUAAACCUAAAAGGACAAAAUAAUUACAAAAUGCACUGACACUGACUUAGACACCUUCCCCCUCCAUCCCUCCCAAUUGAUGUCAUUCUAAAACUUGUGGAUUCACCUUGUAAUCAAUCUGUAAUCAAUUCUCUUAGCUAAAGGUAUGCUCAAUUUAAUGUUUUGAUUCCCAGAAUUCUUUGCAAAUGUAAAUACAAGUAGACAAGAUAUGGUCAACUCUAUUUUAAGUGGAAAAAAGCCUGCUCAAACCUCAACGAAUCCCACUGAUGUUUUGUGGCUUUCGCAGUACGUGCUUUUACAACAAGAACACUGAAGGUACAUUAUGGCAACACCCAAAUCCACCUCCAAUAAAAUACUGCAAGUAAUCAUUUUAAGUCAAAAACUACGAAGCAAAUGUUUUGAUUGUGUGAAGACAUGGUUUAUUGCCUUAUUCUAUGCUAUAGCUGGAAAUUGAGACUUUUGAGUUACAUCUGUUUGACGUACGGAUGUAUUUUCUUUAGAAGUUUAUCUCAGCUCCGCUUUGGUGCCUUCUGUUCUUUUCCUGCAUUCAGAGUAUUUCUCAUUCCCUCCUCUCUCAAGUAACCAAUGUAGUCCAGUUACAACCCAGUGAAGUCAAAGGAGUGUCUUAAAUGUAUUCAGUGGGUCUUUAGUUGGGAUCUGAUAGACUAGUAUAAAAGCUAAAGGAAAUGGUUACUUAAAUGGACCCUUAAGGCUGCCAGGUGACUGAACAGGGACAGCUGUCUCUCCAAAAGCACAACGGGCCACAUUUUAAUGAUGUAAUAAUUUCAAACAUGUUUAAGACUAAGAAAUAUAAGAGAACAUAUACUGGAUAAAGCUCAAACCUUUUCAAUCUAACAAGUGCACUCAAGCUCCAGCAUCUAUUAAAGUAAAUUAUCCCCCCUCUAAGAAAUACAAAAUGAGUAAGUGCUUCCCUUCCCCUUCUGUAAAGCUUUCUGGACUCAGUUACACAAUCCAGAUCCUCAGAAAAGAAAAACAGUUUGCUCAGCUGGACGAGCUAAAUCGGCUCGUCCUCACUGGAAAUUGUCAUGAUGUACAUUACCAAGACAUCAUUAAGGAAACAUGAGUAAAACACUUUUUAUUCACACUUUACAAAAGAAAUAAUAAUAACCAACAAAAAAAAACAAAACAAAAAAAACCAAAAAAAAAACCAGAAAAAAAUAACACUACGCAUUAAGUCUACUACAGCAAUACUAUCAGCAUUUCAAUGUACUGAUUAUAAACUGGACGUGUUUGGUGUUUUCACAACUAAAACGAAAACAAAAUAACC